AAACCAGAAGUUUGGAGGUAUGCAGGGGUGGUGUGAAUGAGGGGAGUGGGUCACCCUCGGUGUCGCAUCACCCAAUGGCCAGUUUGCCUGCAGACUGUAGGGGUUUGUUCUCUGUUUGGUCACUUGCUUAAUUGUCAGUAUCAUUUCCAUGCAAACUCUAGCUCUGCUCCUUGCAGGAAGGGUUUUCCUGUAAGGUUCCAUAUGAUAGCUUGAUCUUUUUGGUGGAAGUUAAUUUCUAGAGUAUCAGCCAUUUCUCCAUGUUAUAAUCAAACAUUAAUAGGGCCAAAUGAUGAUGG